rnacentral:rRNA from 1 species
GAUGAACGCUGGCGGCGUGCUUAACACAUGCAAGUCGAACGAUGAAAGCGGGAGCUUGCUCCUGCUGGAUUAGUGGCGAACGGGUGAGUAACACGCGAGCAAUCUGCCCCGAACUCUGGGAUAAGCGUUGGAAACGACGUCUAAUACCGGAUACGACACGCGAAGGCAUCUUCUGCGCGUGGAAAGAACUUCGGUUCGGGAUGAGCUCGCGGCCUAUCAGCUAGUUGGUGAGGUAACGGCCCACCAAGGCGACGACGGGUAGUCGGCCUGAGAGGGUGACCGGCCACACUGGGACUGAGACACGGCCCAGACUCCUACGGGAGGCAGCAGUGGGGAAUAUUGCACAAUGGGCGCAAGCCUGAUGCAGCAACGCCGCGUGAGGGACGACGGCCUUCGGGUUGUAAACCUCUUUUAGUAGGGAAGAAGCGAAAGUGACGGUACCUGCAGAAAAAGCACCGGCUAACUACGUGCCAGCCGCCGCAGUAAGAC